rnacentral:ncRNA from 2 species
CUCUUAUCGAGAGCGGCGGAGGGACUGGCCCUGUGAAGCCCGGCAACCUCGUUUGUGUACCCACACAAGCGAAGAGGUGCUAAAUCCAGCAGACUGUAACGGUCUGACAGAUAAGAG